rnacentral:rRNA from 1 species
UACGUAGGGUGCGAGCGUUAAUCGGAAUUACUGGGCGUAAAGCGUGCGUAGGCGGUUCGUUAUGUCUGCUGUGAAAGCCCCGGGCUUAACCUGGGAAUGGCAGUGGAAACUGGCGGGCUUGAGUGUGGCAGAGGGGGGUGGAAUUCCGCGUGUAGCAGUGAAAUGCGUAGAGAUGCGGAGGAACACCGAUGGCGAAGGCAGCCCCCUGGGCUGACACUGACGCUCAUGCACGAAAGCGUGGGGAGCAAACAGG